rnacentral:rRNA from 1 species
GACGAACGCUGGCGGCGUGGAUUAGGCAUGCAAGUCGAACGGUAUCAUCCUUUCGGGGGUGAGAGAGUGGCGAACUGGUGAGUAACACGUAGGUUAUCUACCCUCAAGACGGGGACAACCCAGGGAAACUUGGGCUAAUACCGGAUGUGAGCAACUUUUAGUUGUUUGAAAGGUGGCGUAAGCUGUCGCUUGGGGAUGAGCCUGCGUCCUAUUAGUUAGUUGGUGAGGUAACGGCUCACCUAGGCAAUGAUAGGUAGGCGGCCUUAACGGGUGGUCGCCCACACUGGGAUUGAGAUACGGCCCAGACUCCUACGGGAGGCAGCAGUCGAGAAUAGUCUACAAUGGUCGGAAGACUGAUAGUGCGACGCCGCGUGAACGAUGAAUCCCUUCGGGGUGUAAAGUUCUUUUAUAUGUGAGCAGUGCUUCUAUAUUAACAGUAUGGGGAAGAGAUAUUAGCAUAUGAAUAAGCAACGGCUAACUCCGUGCCAGCCAGCCGCGGUAAUAC